rnacentral:rRNA from 1 species
UACGUAGGCGGAAAAUUAAGUCAGUAGUGAAAUCCCGCAGCUUAACUGUAGAACUGUUAUUGAUACUGGUUUUCUUGAAUGUAGUUGAGGUAGGCGGAAUAUGUAAUGUAGCGGUGAAAUGCUUAGAUAUUACAUAGAACACCGAUUGCGAAGGCAGCUUACUAAGCUACGAUUGACGCUGAGGUACGAAAGCGUGGGGAGCGAACAGGAUUAGAUACCCUGGUAGUCC